UUUUUUUUUUUUAAAUGUUUGUGUCUUUUUAAUCGUGGGAUUAUCUGCUUAAUGCUACACAUUCUUUGGAAUGAUCAUUUCAAUUCAGUUAUGUUGAAUAUAAAACUCAAGAAUCCUGAAAAUCAGUGUGGUGGUUGUUUCUCGUACAUAGUUUUUGAGCAUUUAUGUAUUGUUGUGGACGAGUUAUUCGAUUUCUCAGUACUGCCACAAGAAGUAAGAAGACUAACUGGGAUCCUACUGUUUAACUUGAACUUAAUCACCCAUCUCUUCUUUUGCUUGAGAAAAGCAAUACCAGGGAUCAUUUCAAACAGAUUUUGGGGCAGAUGAUGAGAAGCAAUCUGAUUGGUCAAACAUUUCCCAUGAGUAGACUCAUUUUUUUCUCAGCAAUUUCACACCCUGAGAAUUUAGAUAUUGCCUUACUUCUUUUUAAUCACUUUACUCCUAAUCCCAACCUGUAUAUUUACAACACCAUGAUUUCUGCACUAACUUUGGCAACUAGUCAAUCUUUUGUUGUCUAUAAUUCUAUGCUGAGCUCUGGCAUUGAGCCAGAUAAACACACACUCCUUAAUCUACUCCUUGCAGCUAAACAUGUAUUGGAAGUGAAGCAAAUUCAUUGCCAUGCCAUUGUUCUGGGUUUGUCAACCUAUAGAUAUAUGCAAAAUUCUCUCAUUAUGAUGUACUUAGAAAAUGGACUAUUUUGGCUUGCACAUCAGCUAUUUGAACAGAUGCUAGCUCCUGAUGUUGUCUCGUUCAACAUUAUGAUAGCUGUUUAUGCCAAGAAAGGAUAUAGUUUAGAAGCUGUACAACUGCUUCAUGAAAUGAUCGCUUUAGGCCUUAAACCUGAUGAGUUUACCAUGUUAGGCCUUCUUGUUUCUUGUGGGCAAUUGAAAGAGGCACAAUUUGGGAAGGCUGUUCAUGCAUGGAUAGAAAGAAGGAAGUCCAUGACUUCAUCAAAUCUGAUAUUGGGUAAUGCUCUUUUGGAUAUGUAUGUAAAGUGCCAAGAGUUGGAUCUUGCCCAGAGGACAUUUUCUGCAUUGACAGAAAAGGAUAUUGUUUCAUGGAACACCAUAAUUGCAGGAUUUGCCAAGGCAGGUAACUUGGAGCUUGCACGGACAUUUUUUUAUCAAAUGCCUAUUAGGGAUCUUGUGUCUUGGAAUUCUUUAAUUGCUGGUUAUGCCUGUCGAGGUGAUUUUACAAUGAUAAGAAACUUAUUCAAUGAUAUGGUGGUGGAAAAUGUUACACCUGACAAUGUUACAAUGGCUAGCUUGAUCUCAGCUGCUGCAGAAAUUGGAGCUCUGGAUCAUGGUAGGUGGGCACACGGCUGGAUAAUUAGAAUGCACAUUAAAAUAGAUCCUCUUUUGGGUUCAGCAUUGGUUGACAUGUAUUGCAAGUGUGGAAGUGUUGAAAAGGCUUUCUUGGUUUUCAGAGAAAUUAUUGAAAAGGAUGUCAUAGUAUGGACAACAAUGAUUACUGGAUUUGCUUUUCAUGGCUAUGGAAGCAAAGCAUUGGAACUGUUUUCAGAGAUGCAAGAAUAUGCAAGUCCAAAUGAGGUUACUUUUGUUUCUGUUCUUGCAGCUUGUAGUCAUAGUGGACUUGUAGAACAAGGGUUUAAAACCUUCAAUUGUAUGAAAGAAUAUGGAAUGGAACCAAGAAUUGAGCACUAUGGAUGUUUGGUGGAUCUUUUAGGGCGAUCAGGUAGGUUGGCCGAGGCAAAAGAUGUCAUUGAAAGGAUGCCCAUGAAACCAAGUCGAUCUAUCUGGGGGUCAAUACUAAAUGCUUGUCGAGCUCAUGGAGACAUGGAAAUGGGGGAGAGAGCUUUGGCGGAGCUGCUAAAGUUAGAACCUGAGGAAGAGGGCGGAUACAUGCUGUUGUCUAACAUAUAUGCUGCUAAUGGAAGGUGGAGUUAUUCUGACAAGAUUAGAGAGAGCAUGGAAAGCAGAGGAGUGAAGAAGACAGCUGGUUGCAGUAGUCUAGUUAUUGAUGGAGUUAUUCACAAUUUUCUGGCUGCAGAUAAGUGGCACCCUAGAUGGACAGAGGUAAAGCUCAUUUUGAACUGUUUGUCAAGUGAACUGAAGUUAGGGGCUGAUGUUCCUGGGGAAUCUAUGCAUCCAUUACAGGACACAUGUUGACAGAGCUUUUUUCUUUCAGCCUCUUCAACAACAUAGAUGCUGAACAUUUUAUAGAUACUGUCUGCGUACUGAGGCAUUGUCCCAUUCUCAUGUGUUGUUUCAGCUGAAAUACACUAUUGUAGGUGUAUUCAAGAUUCAUUCUUUUCUGGUGACAGUCGGUGAGAACUUGGCUGUUUUAUAGAAAUAAAUGGAAGGCACAACUGUGUUGCGCUUCACAUGCAGCAUUGUGAGCCAACAAUCCUUCACCAUGCUCAUCUUAGUUGCUGAAAGUGUAUCUUAGAAACAUGGAGCGUCUGUAGAUCUAGUUACAAGUUGGUUCACCGGAUUGGGCUUGAUCUGAGUUAAAUUCGGACUGAUCUUCAUAAAAAAAUUUGUAGACCCAGACCGGCCUUCAACCUUAGGGGGCUGGUUUCAGUCUCAUCCUUCUAAUCCUAAAUAGGAAUUUUCAUAAUUUGACCCUUUUUUUUUAUUUAAUUUAUCAUUUAGUCUUUAGGUUUUAGUCCUUGAUUUUACUUCCUGUCACACAUUUAAAUCUUUUCAUUUAUUUUGUCAUUUGUAUUUUAAAAUAAAUUUUU
rnacentral:misc_RNA from 1 species